UUUGUUUUUAGAAUAAACUAAUUUUUUAUGUUUUGAAAACAUAAUAAGAAUUUUAUUUUUCUUAGUUUUGAG
rnacentral:tRNA from 1 species